rnacentral:rRNA from 1 species
UACGUAGGGGGCGAGCGUUGUCCGGAUUUACUGGGUGUAAAGGGCGUGUAGGCGGCUCUGCAAGUCAGAUGUGAAAUUUCCGGGCUUAACCCGGACGGGUCAUCUGAAACUGCAGGACUUGAGUACUGGAGAGGAUAGCGGAAUUCCUAGUGUAGCGGUAAAAUGCGUAGAUAUUAGGAGGAACACCAGUGGCGAAGGCGGCUUCCUGGUCUGUAACUGACACUGAGGCGCGAAAGCGUGGGGAGCAAACAGGAUUAGAUACCCUGGUAGUCCCU